rnacentral:lncRNA from 1 species
AGGGUGGUAAGGUUUAAAGUAUGUAAUUUCUAUUGAAAUGGUUUAUCAUGUGGUUAGUUCCAAAAAGAAUUAUGUUUAAAUGAACUAGCUUAUGACUAUGGUUGAAUGAUAUGUUUAUGUCUCGUGUGAUAUGCAUAUGAAACGGGCGUGGAAAGGUAUUGAAAUAGUAAGUUCAUAUCUGAAGUGUAGAAUGAUGAAAAAGGGAAUAAUGAAUUGAAUUGAUGUUAUUUGAGCUAAUGAGAGUAAAU